UCAAACUUGGUCAUUUAGAGGAAGUAAAAGUCGUAACAAGGUCAUCGUAGGUGAACCUGCGGUGGGAUCAUCAAAAGAACCAAACCUUUCCUGCGGACUCUUUACGAGUCUGCACCUUUUGUGAACUCCACAGGAUGAGGAGGCUUGCCUCUGAUUCUUGUACCUGGUGUUGCUGCCAGUUUAGUGCUGGCAGCAAUUCUAUAUCAAACACAACAUCAUUUACCAAGUUUAAUGCUGAAACCUGACGAGUGAAAACUUGUCUAAUAGUUAUACAACUAUCAAUGGUGGAUCACUUGGCUCUUGCAUCGAUGAAGAACGCAGC
rnacentral:misc_RNA from 1 species